UAAUAAUCUAGCGGAGAUUUUGGAGUUUCAACCGAGUGAUGUGAGCGACUCGGGGGACGAGGAGGACGAUUCUUGCAGCUGUAUAAUUAUGUAGAUUAUUACAUCAAAUAUGUGUAUAAUGACGGGAAGAAUGAGAUUGCUUUACUGAUAAACUGAGAGUCAUUGGUGGUGUUUCUGACUGUAUACUGAUUGCCUUACUACAACAAUGAGUUCUCGAAGAAUGACGGGUUAAUAUGUCGAUAUUACUUGCGGUGUUUGGUGAUGUGUGUCGGGGAUAUCUUGUACUGUUUUGGUUUUCGAGUUUGUAAGAUCAUAUCGAUGAUGCGAAUAAUGAUGUUAUUAUAACAAACAUUCAGAUUAGUUGAGCUUUGUAA